AAUACAGUUGCUCAGACUGCAGCUUGUUCUAAUCAGCCCCAUGGAUGGAGCCUGCAGACCCAGAAAUGGCCUCCAGCCAGGGGGCUCCCCAGCAGCCUGCAGACCACCACCAUCCUCCAACCACCCAACCUCCUACGAAGAGAACAGACAGCAAAGGAGGGGUCAGGGCUCACACGGGAGGUUGGCCCCAGACCACUAAAUACACACCACCUGGAGAUAUAGGAAAACCCAGAGGUGGGGACCACAGCAACAUGAGCACAUACUGCAAACUGUCAGAAGCAGGAGGGCCACGUGAUUGCAGAGGACAAGCCCACCUGAUUCCCUCCACAUUAAGUGGAAACCACUGUCUCCACUGAGAAAGAAAGCUAAUUGUCAACAUAUCAAAACAAAAAGAUUUGUUCCAUACCGACUGCCCACUGCUCGACAGUAAGUCAGUGAUGUACUCUCACAGGUUUAUAUGAAACACGUGGACAUAUUCAUUCAUCAACCCACAUUGAGAUGAACUGUCACAUCCCAUUUAAACUCCAUCCCAGGCAGCAAGUAUUAACCGGCAAUUAUUACCGUGUAUAACGUGCUUUACAAUUGGCAAGAACGUCAGCGGUCCCUGGUUCAUUCAGCAUCCCUGGUAUCAUUCACAAACUGCAGUUCUCAUUUUUUUCCCCCUCAAGCCUGGAGGGAAUUGAGAAGCAGAAAAUAGUCUCAGCCAGAUCCAGCUGCCCUGACACUCACAGCACAGCUGGCAGGUGCUGGAGCUUCAGACACAUGGCCCACAGGUGCAGCAAGCUCACCUUGCUCAUGCUCUGCAACCACAGAGGCUUGCCCCGGCCAAUGAAGCCAUCCCCAGGGGCCUCUGAAAAUUCUCCAGGCUGUCUGCAAACUGAUCUCUCAGAAUGUAUGGCUAUCUACACAUUAGAAUACAUGAAUGAGCAAUUUACUUGGUUGUUCCUAUUGUACAUGCAUGUCUACACACACAAGUAUACAUGGGUAUACAUGCACACACAUAUACCCAUACAUACACCUGCAUGCAUAUACACACAUAUGCACAUAUAUACGUACAGUGUGUGUAUCAAUGCAUGGCAGCCCUUCCCAGGCACCUUAGGUGACACACUUUGCUAGUGAUCUUUGUAGGAGAAGGAGGGCCAUUUUCUGCUACUCAAACAGCAUUUGGAACCAAAACAUUUGCAAACCACUGGUUUAGGGGGCACGAUCUGAACUCAGAGGUUCGCACACCAGGUAACCAAAGUUUGCGGUCCUCAUUAUUUCUGCUGUCUCUUCUUUCCCUAAAGGGCCUGGCACAGUUUCCUCUGCACCCAUGGUCCUCUAGGCCCUGCUGACUAGGGCAUUACCAGAGAGAGAAACAACUGGCUCCUGGCCCCAAAAACGUCCCAAAGGUGAAUGAGCAAUGUGGCACUUCGUAAAGCUUUAUGGAAUUGGGAUAAAUGCUUCUGGCUAGCGAUUAGAAAACCUUAUUCUACAUGUACACACAUGUGUGCAUGUCCAUGUGUGCCUGUGUGUGUGAGAUCUGUGUGGGCUUGUUCUAUACUGCCAUAGAACACAAAUUUAUCUUCAUAACAGAGUCAAUUACAUUCUCCCAUUUCCCCACAAGUGAGGCAGCAAAAACAAAUUUUGAGCUUCAACCUGCAGGAGAAUGCCAGGGUCUCUGUGUUGAAAAGGAAUUCUUCCUUCCCCCUGCCUUGCAGACAUAUGUUGCACAGACAAACACCUGGAAGGUGCUUCUUAAUUCUUUGAGGUUUCUGCCUCUCACAUGCAGCUGUCAAAUCGCACCCGAUCAACAUGACACAGCAAAUAACACUACGACAUGCAACCGGCAACUUUUGAAAGUACACUCUCCCCACACCCAGCCCCCUCUGCCUUCUCCAGCGUGGGCUGCUGUCUUCAAACUAACCAUCCUGCAACUGCUUAAAAGAGCCUGACAGGUAAUUUAUUCUGUGGCAGAGGAUAGCAAUUUCAUUGUCCAGAGGCAAGAGAUUCAACCGCAUCAGAAAAUUCGAACUCUCAAGGAACACAGGUUUAAUAUGAUAACGAUUCCAAGGGUGUGUGUUCAUAAUUCUUCCUGUUCUUUCCUCCCCUUCCCUAAAGCUGGUAGCAAAUACUUUUGCACAGUUUAUUUAAGGGCCCUCUAAAGAACUGUCAUAAAAUAAAUCAAAUAUUUUACCAGGAAGGAUGAUUUUCAAACACUUAUUUGUGUAAAGAGCCAACCAGAUGGGUCAAGGCCUAGUUGCUGUUAUGGGAUCUUUGCCCAUAAGUAAAUGUUUUAAAAAUUGCAUCUGACUCUCUUUGAAGAAACCCUGCUGGGAUCUAUAAGGUUUCACUUGGGCACCUGGUAGAGAAGGGGAUGUUGAGCAAAAACGGUUGAUGGACAGGACAACACCUGCUUCUAGAAGCAAAGUCAAGACCGCUAUGCAUUUAUUUUUGCAAAAUAUUGUGACAGUUAUUCUCACAUUGUAUUUGCUAAAAUCCAUGCAAAGUAAGUAAGUAAGUAAUUAUUAUUUCCAUUUUACAUAUGAAGAAAGCCAAGGCUUAGGGUAUUGAAGACUCGGCUUCCUCAAAUAUAUAUAGGAACAGUGGAUCCUGGGUCCCUCCCAUCGGUAAACCACAACUUUGCAUGGCAAGUUCCCAUCAGAAAUAGAGCUAGAACUGAAGCCUCCUAACUUUCAGUCCCUGCCAGCUAGCCCCCGCCCCAUGUGACUGCAUCACACCUGCACUGCAACAAAAGGUAAAUUCUAUAGGUAGGUGAUUUUUAAAUCUGCCUUUGUCACACCGAAACUGUUAUGAGAUCAUGGACAAGAUGCUUCCCUCCAUAUAUCCUAAAUAUAUUCUAUGUAAAUUCUCACUGCAUUGAAUUAAGAAUAACAACAAAAUUCUCUUAAACCCCACUCAUGUUCCCUAGCUAGGAGUACGUUGCUCUCCAAAGCAUAGGGCAUUGCCGAUAGAUCCCAAGGCUAUAGGACCUAGCAUUUCCAUGUGCUCACUGCAC